GCAGAUGAUGAGAGUUACCCCCACUGACCGGUGAUGAAGCAGGGGACUGAUGC
rnacentral:snoRNA from 1 species